rnacentral:rRNA from 1 species
CCUACGGGUGGCAGCAGUGGGGAAUAUUGGACAAUGGGGGGAACCCUGAUCCAGCGACGCCGCGUGAGUGAAGAAGUAUUUCGGUAUGUAAAGCUCUAUCAGCAGGGCAGAAAGAAAUGACGGUACCUGACUAAGCAGCCCCGGCUAACUACGUGCCAGCAGCCGCGGUAAUACGUAGGGGGCACGCGUUAUCCGGCUUCACUGGGUGUACAGGGAGCGUAGACGGCGAUGCAAGUCUGAAGUGAAAGGCGGGGGCCCAACCCCUGGACUGCGUUGGAAACUGUAUGGCUGGAGUGCAGGAGAGGUAAGUGGAAUGCGUGGUGUAGCGGUGAAAUGCGUAGAUAUUAGGAGGAACACCAGUUGCGAAGGCGGCUUACUGGACUGUAACUGACGUUGAGGCUCGAAAGCGUGGGGAGCAAACAGGAUUAGAUACCCGAGUAGUC